rnacentral:rRNA from 1 species
UACGAAGGGGGCUAGCGUUGCUCGGAAUCACUGGGCGUAAAGGGUGCGUAGGCGGGUUUCUAAGUCAGAGGUGAAAGCCUGGAGCUCAACUCCAGAACUGCCUUUGAUACUGGAAGUCUUGAGUUCGGGAGAGGUGAGUGGAACUGCGAGUGUAGAGGUGAAAUUCGUAGAUAUUCGCAAGAACACCAGUGGCGAAGGCGGCCAUCUGGGACAACACUGACGCUGAAGCACGAAAGCGUGGGGAGCAAACAGG